CAUGCGCUGUGUUCAGGCAGGCUGAGCGUUCUGUAUACGUUCCAUCCCCAGAUGCUCGCUAAAGACUUUUUUAAAAACUGAAGUCUAGUUGAUUUUCAGUGUUGGCACAGCAAAGUGAUUCUGUUAUUUACACACACACACACACACACACACACACACACUUUUUUUUCCAGAUUCUUUUCCCUUGUAGGUUACUAUGAAAGAUUGGAUAUAGUUCCCUGUGCUAUACGGUAGAUCUUUGUUAGUUACUGUAUAUAUAACAGUGUGUGUAUGUUAAUCCCAAACUCCUAGUUUAUUCCCCCCAACAAACCUUUACCCUUUGGAAACCAUGAGUUUGUUUUCUGUGUCUGGCCCACUAAAAACUCUUAAAGCAAGUGUUACUCACAUUUUGCAUGGAAGGCUAGAGAAAUCAAUCUUCCUGAGGCCAGUAGCUAAGUAAGCAGUGAAAUCAAAAUUGCAAGUUACAUUUGAUUGUGUAGCUGGAGGUUUUAAACAAAUUCCCUUAUUCACGUUUGAGGUUGGGAGAACAAAAAGGAGCCGCCUCAGUCAUCCAUUGCAAGGCCGCAAAUCACCCCCAAAACCUGCAGGAGGCCUUUGCCCUGAGGGUGAGGGGGGUGGACACUCCAGCCUGGUCACUCCCACGGCUGGCCGUCAGCGCAGGUCACUGGCUUGGCGGUCCGCCGGGGCUGUCAGCUGGACACCUCAGGCCUGUCCUACAUGGACCGCUCAUGUGACUGCUUGGGUUCCUCGGAGUAUGGCGACUGGCCUGUAAGAAGGAACGUUCCAAGAACACGUUGCUUCUUGGCCUUUUGGCUAAGAUCAAGUGUAAUGUGGGGGCUUCCCUGCUGGCUCAGUGGUGAAGAAUCUGCCAGGCACUGUGUGAGAUGUGGGUUUGAUCUUUGGUUUGAGAAGAUCCCCUGGGGUAGGAAAUGGCAACCUGCUCCAGUAUUCUUGCCUGGAAAAUCCCAUGGACAGAGGAUGCUGGUGGGCUACAGUCCAGGGGGUCGCAAAGAAUGGGACACGACUGAGCGAAAACACCCACGCGAAUUCUCUCUGUCUCCCCGGGACGACAAGCCUCGCUGUGACGGCGCUUAUGAAACCGGCUCUGUUCAUAUAGCUGCUGGUGGCCCAGCGGCCAACGCUGGUCUCAUGGCCAAGCCCUGCGUCAGUGCGGGACACUCUACCAGGGUCAGGAGGUGCCGUCACCUGGCUGAGCUCACGCUUUGCAGAUCUGCCUUUGAGCCUCUGCUGGGCCCCGAAGCUGCGUUCCUUCCUCCCCUCGAACACCCACUCCUCCGGUGCCGAACACACACAGAGGGCUGAGGAAGCAACAGCAGACAAUGCAGGGAAGAGUAAAGACCUUUUAAAAGUGACUUGCAGUUAAGUUGAGGCGGGAGCUCCUGGCAGCAAAAUCCUGUAGGCUUUGGCUGAUGUUUUGCUGAUGUGUUAUGCUAGUGGGUCUGAUCUUACCCUUCUGCAUUUCUGAUAGUAUUUUUAGAAACCACCUGUAAAAGUAGUCAAGGUCAAUGGUAAGGAAGUCAGUGUCGGGGCAGAGGUCACUGGAAGAAGUUGGUUAUUAAAGGCUGAGUGAUGCCUCCCCAAAUUCACAAGCUCAAGUCCUAACACAUCACCUCCACCACCGCCGCCACCCUGCCGCUCAGGAGGUGAAUAUAUUUGGGGAUCAGGCCUUUAAAGAGGUGAUUAAAAUCAAAGGACAUCUUAUGGGUAGGCCCUAAACUAACGCGGUUCUUGUUAAAAAGCGACAUUAGGGCUGAGGACACAGGCGGAGGCAUGGCUGAGAGGCCUCAGGAGAAACCGCCCGGAGCCGUCUUGAUCGUGGCCUUCCAGCCCCAGCGUGGACCUCGGUGGAGCCGGGAUGAGCUGGCCCCUCACAAGCGUGCUUUCAACUUGAGUGGGGGAGGGGAACUGGAGGGGACCUGCCCCCUUCUUCUCUAAGGCCUUUGAGAGCAGCUACCCCUCUGCCUCCAGCACUCUGGGGAGGGAAAAAAACCUUAUGUAAAGGAGCCUGAAUUUUACAAAAAGCAACAAUGCUUGGGACUCAGCAGAGAGGGAAAACACCCAUUUAAAUACUUGAUUUGCAUCUGGAGUCUGCUCCAUCGCAGCCCGGCGCUCACAGCAGUCCGCUGGCCAGUCUGAGACAAAACGGGAGAGGAAGCCUGGCUCCCUGGAGCCAAGAGCAACCGGCCUCCCAGGACGACGCCCUGCGGAAACUGCUGGGGGCCUGCACUCCGUGGGUCAGAGCAAGCAGGGCCAGAGGCGGAGGGGCCGCGGGGGGCGCCAGGAGAGCGGGGGUCCUGCCCCGGCUUCCCCGGCGCCUUCUACGCCUCCCUUCGGAUCCUUCCGCCGCAGGUCUUCGACUUUUCCUGCCCAAACCCAAGACCAGCGGCGAAGAGCCUGCAGCUUGCGGAGCCGCUGCAUUUUGCAAGCGCUGUGUCCGUUCACGUUCUCUGGAAUCCAGUGACCUCAGCAGUAGGCUUGCGCCUUUCAUCUUCAGACCCGAAGGGCCCUCAGACCUCUGAGGGGAGGAUCUGGGGGAGCCAGGCGGCGCCUCAAAGUAGAGGCUCCCUGACACUCAGCUGCCUUCCAGGGACAGAUAUACCAUCUGAGAAACAGCAAAGCGGGAGGCAUGGAAUGAUGCC
ensembl:lncRNA